rnacentral:rRNA from 1 species
GGAAGGAUCAUUAACAAAUUACAACGUUUGUUGCAACCCACUCUGCGUAUCUUUACCUGUUGCUUCCCCCGGUGGCUUUGCCGCUGGGGGAAGGGAACCGCGAACUCUGUUUUCCUUGAAAUCGGUCUGAAAUCUAGUUUAUCGUUAAACGUUAAAAACUUUCAACAACGGAUCUCUUGGUUCUCCCAUCGAUGAAGAACGCAGCGAAAUGCGAUAAGUAGUGUGAAUUGCAGAAUUCAGUGAAUCAUCGAAUCUUUGAACGCACAUUGCGCCCCCUGGCAUUCCGGGGGGCAUGCCUGUUCGAGCGUCAUCAAAACCAUUCGAGACGCGGGUGGAAACCCUCGGCUCGGUCUUGGGCAUGAGGGGUCAAACUCCCUCGGCCCGCAAUCCAGCGGCAGACUCCCUGCGGAGCAGUAGCGUGAUAGAAUCGUCAAUCGCAAAUUGCGCGACGGGGACGUCUAGCCAUAACCCCCAAAUAUGUAAUCGAUUUUUGACCUCGGAUCAGGUAGGGAUACCCGCUGAACUUAAGCAUAUCAAUAAGCGGAGGAAAAGAAACCAACAGGGAUUGCCUCAGUAACUGCGAGUGAAGCGGCAAAAGCUCAAAUUUGAAAUCUGUGUCCUUCCGGGCACAGAGUUGUAAUUUUGAGAUACGUUUUCGACCGACAGGCCUGCCUUAAGUCCCUUGGAACAGGGCGUCGCAGAGGGUGAGAAUCCCGUGAACGGUAGGCCUCGAGGCUCAUGAUACGUAUUCAACGAGUCGAGUUGUUUGGGAAUGCAGCUCAAAAUGGGUGGUAAAUUUCAUCUAAAGCUAAAUAUUGGGGAGAGACCGAUAGCGCACAAGUAGAGUGAUCGAAAGAUGAAAAGCACUUUGAAAAGAGAGUUAAAAAGUACGUGAAAUUGUUGAAAGGGAAGCGCUUGAGACCAGACUCAAUCUUUGUUGAUCAACUUCAGUUCUCUGUUGUGCACUCUU